rnacentral:antisense_RNA from 1 species
CUUGAUCGACCCGAGCCAGAGCGGCUGAUCGCGGUCCUGCCCGUACGUGGCGAGCAGGGCCUGCGCCUC